rnacentral:miRNA from 1 species
CACACACAACACACUGCGCCCUUCACACAUACAAUACGUCCAAACAUAUAUUUAUAUAUGUAUGUGUUUGGACGUAUUGUAUGUGUGAAGGGCGCAGUGUGUUGGGUGUGCU